GAUGAACACUGGCGGCGUGCCUAAUACAUGCAAGUCGAGCGAAUGGAUUAAGAGCUUGCUCUUAUGAAGUUAGCGGCGGACGGGUGAGUAACACGUGGGUAACCUGCCCAUAAGACUGGGAUAACUCCGGGAAACCGGGGCUAAUACCGGAUAACAUUUUGAACCGCAUGGUUCGAAAUUGAAAGGCGGCUUCGGCUGUCACUUAUGGAUGGACCCGCGUCGCAUUAGCUAGUUGGUGAGGUAACGGCUCACCAAGGCAACGAGGCGUAGCCGACCUGAGAGGGUGAUCGGCCACGCUGGGACUGAGACACGGCCCAGACUCCUACGGGAGGCAGCAGUAGGGAAUCUUCCGCAAUGGACGAAAGUCUGACGGAGCAACGCCGCGUGAGUGAUGAAGGCUUUCGGGUCGUAAAACUCUGUUGUUAGGGAAGAACAAGUGCUAGUUGAAUAAGCUGGCACCUUGACGGUACCUAACCAGAAGGCCACGGCUAACUACGUGCCAGCCGCCGCGGUAA
rnacentral:rRNA from 1 species